GACUGGUGACCUCAGGCCAAUCAUUUGUCCUUUUUGAGUCUUGUUUUCUAGAUUAUAAAACAGGAAACAUUUCCUUCCUCAUAAGAUGAGCCAGUGCCCAAAAGCCACUAUUUAGGACAUCCACACAUACAUGAAUCACAUGCAAUUCCAGGAAGACACACAAUUAUGUGGAUUUUUAGUGCCUUGUGGCUGGCCUGUCCCUAGGUCUAUCUGUGAGGGUCAGACAUGUCCUGAGGUUUUGUUCUAAUCUUUAUUUUAUUUAUUUAUUUAUUUAUUUAUAUGUGGUGCUAAGAAUUGAACCCAGUGCCUCACACGUGCCAGUACUAGGGAUUGAAUGCAAGACCUCACACAAGUUCUGCAAGUGCUCCAACACUCAGUUAUAUCCCCACUCCUUUUUUAAAAUUUCAAGACUGGCUCUGACAAAGUUGCUAGGCUGGCCUUGAACUUAUGAUCCUCCUCCUCAGCUUCUAGUGUAGCUGGAAGCUUCUGACUUGUUUCUAUUUUUUCUGUGGCUACUCAUACAAUACAAUGGCAGAGCUAAGUAGUUGUGAUAUAGAUGAAUGGCUGGCAAAGCCUGAAAUAUUUACUUUCUGGCCCUUCACAGAAGUUUGCUGACACUUGUCCCAGUGUAUCUGUAAAGCUGCUCUUCUGAGAUGCCCUACUCUUACCAUUUCCUCCCCUAAAUGGACCCAGUGGCACUCCAACCCACUCUACCCCAGCAGCCCCAAACCCAACACUGACAAAAGGCCAGCCUUGGGAGAGGGGAACUGCUGACCUGUCCAGCCUGGGCUCCAUCAUAC